ensembl:lncRNA
CGGAGACGUAUUAAAAGACCAGGGAGAUCCUGUCCUGUUUUAUCUAACACAGCUAAAAUCCUUUCCCCUGAGCAUUUGUUGAUUUGAUUAACAUACAAUUACACGGCGAACGGCUGCUUAAAACUGCUUAAUACGAUCUGAAAUCCGAGUUCACAGAACAAGAGAGCUGUCUGCAUCUAAACUUAAAAUUAUCAUCUCUGGGCAACAUGUGUCUUCACAUAAAUUAAUUCGUUUUGAAGGUUCACAGCCCUCUUAACAGCCAUCUUGUUUUGGAAGGAAGAAGAAAUGGAAGAGAUGCUUUGGAAGUAAAAGUUGUCAACGACAAGCCUGACAUCACACAGAUGAUACUUCAAAGGCCAGCACUUUUUACAGUAAACCAGGUACAUAUACACUGAAGAUACUACCAAGUAUCUUCACCAAGCUGUUACUCUGAGGCAGGAGUCCCAAGCACCAUGUGGCCCUCACACAUGCACUCAGAAGAGGCCUCGCUCCCCCACGGAGAGAUCCACAUCCAGGACGAGUGCUAAGGGGGGUUAAAAAGGCCUGCUGCAUCUGUCUUUUUUAAUAACACUAUGUCCAGGAAGUUCAGGCUGGAUGAGGACUAAGUGUAAUGAGAUGUCCAUCACGACAACAUGUGUGACAAGUGGAAUGGAAAUGCAAUUAGCCCUCCCCCCACCACCAGACAUGGCUAGGCCUGUUAUGUGUUAAUAAUGUGAUGUAAUGGCCAUAAGGAUAAAACAGUUCCUGUUCGUGACAUCAGGGGAUCUCAUCUUUAUCCUCCCAGAACAUCUGAAUGAACGUGUAAGUGAGCAAGUGCUUUAGGGGAAUGAGUGAGUCAGUGAGAAAGCAGUGAACGUGAGUCCGUUGCUCUUUUCCAAAUCGUAGUUGGCUGCCUGCAGAGGCUGCAUUUGAUGGAGUGUUGUUCCUUAAAUGAAGGCUUUUUCAAAAUCUACACGUAUUUAUUACACUGACUUAUGAGAUACCAGAUUUUAGCCAGAUUCUAAGGCGUUAGUGCAUAUUUCUUUGUAGGCAAGGCAAUCCCAAAAUGUAUUGGCAUGAGCUCCUUUGUGGGGAAAAAAUGCACUUAUUGGUAUUGAAGUGUACUUCAAAUGUUAAAAGUAUAUAUGUGUGUAUAUGUAUGUAUAUGUAUGUGUGUGUGUGUGU